ACAUGCAGUCGAGGGGUAACAGGUAGCUUGCUAUGCUGACGACCGGCGAACGGGUGCGUAACGCGUAUAGAAUCUACCUUGUACAGGAGGAUAACCUUUAGAAAUGAAGACUAACACUCCAUAGUGUGGAAAAUCGGCAUCGAAUUUUCAUUAAAUAUUUAUAGGUACAAGAUGACUAUGCGUCCUAUUAGCUAGAUGGUAAGGUAAUGGCUUACCAUGGCAACGAUAGGUAGGGGGUCUGAGAGGAUUAUCCCCCACACUGGUACUGAGACACGGACCAGACUCCUACGGGAGGCAGCAGUGAGGAAUAUUGGACAAUGGAGGCAACUCUGAUCCAGCCAUGCCGCGUGCAGGAAGACUGCCCUAUGGGUUGUAAACUGCUUUUAUACAGGAAGAAACACUACCUCGUGAGGUAGCUUGACGGUACUGUAAGAAUAAGGACCGGCUAACUCCGUGCCAGCAGCCGCGGUAAUACGGAGGGUCCGAGCGUUAUCCGGAAUCAUUGGGUUUAAAGGGUCCGCAGGCGGUUAAUUAAGUCAGAGGUGAAAUCCUAUCGCUCAACGAUGGAACUGCCUUUGAUACUGGUUAACUUGAGUUAUACGGAAGUAGAUAGAAUAAGUAGUGUAGCGGUGAAAUGCAUAGAUAUUACUUAGAAUACCGAUUGCGAAGGCAGUCUACUACGUAUAUACUGACGCUCAUGGACGAAAGCGUGGGGAGCGAACAGGAUUAGAUACCCUGGUAGUCCACGCCGUAAACGAUGGAUACUAGUUGUUGGGU
rnacentral:rRNA from 1 species